rnacentral:misc_RNA from 1 species
UUAAGUUCAGCGGGUAUCCCUACCUGAUCCGAGGUCAACCUAGAAAAAUAAAGGUUUCAGUCGGCAGAGUUCCUCUCCUUUGACAGACGUUCGAAUAAAUUCUACUACGCCUAAAGCCGGAGUGGCCUCGCCGAGGUCUUUAAGGCGCGCCCAACUAAGGACGACGCCCAAUACCAAGCAUAGCUUGAGUGGUGUAAUGA